GACGAACGCUGGCGGCACGCUUAACACAUGCAAGUCGAACGAGAGAAGAGAAGCUUGCUUUUCUGAUCUAGUGGCGGACGGGUGAGUAACACGUGAACAAUCUGCCUUUCAGAGGGGGAUACCGAUUGGAAACGAUCGUUAAUACCGCAUAACAUAAUUGAACCGCAUGAUUUGAUUAUCAAAGAUUUAUCGCUGAAAGAUGAGCUCGCGUCUGAUUAGCUAGUUGGUAAGGUAACGGCUUACCAAGGCGACGAUCAGUAGCCGGACUGAGAGGUUGAUCGGCCACAUUGGGACUGAGACACGGCCCAGACUCCUACGGGAGGCAGCAGUGGGGAAUAUUGCACAAUGGAGGAAACUCUGAUGCAGCGAUGCCGCGUGAGGGAAGAAGGUUUUAGGAUUGUAAACCUCUGUCUUCAGGGACGAAAAAUGACGGUACCUGAGGAGGAAGCUCCGGCUAACUACGUGCCAGCAGCCGCGGUAAUACGUAGGGAGCGAGCGUUGUCCGGGAUUACUGGGUGUAAAGGGAGCGUAGGCGGGAUCGCGAGUCAGAUGUGAAAACUAUGGGCUUAACCCAUAAACUGCAUUUGAAACUGUGGUUCUUGAGUGAAGUAGAGGUAAGCGGAAUUCCUAGUGUAGCGGUGAAAUGCGUAGAUAUUAGGAGGAACAUCAGUGGCGAAGGCGGCUUACUGGGCUUUAACUGACGCUGAGGCUCGAAAGCGUGGGGAGCAAACAGGAUUAGAUACCCUGGUAGUCCACGCCGUAAACGAUGAUUACUAGGUGUGGGGGGACUGACCCCUUCCGUGCCGCAGCAAACGCAAUAAGUAAUCCACCUGGGGAGUACGACCGCAAGGUUGAAACUCAAAGGAAUUGACGGGGGCCCGCACAAGCAGUGGAGUAUGUGGAUUAAUUCGAAGCAACGCGAAGAACCUUACCAGGUCUUGACAUCGUAUGCAUAGCUCAGAGAUGAGUGAAAUCUCUUCGGAGACAUAUAGACAGGUGGUGCAUGGUUGUCGUCAGCUCGUGUCGUGAGAUGUUGGGUUAAGUCCCGCAACGAGCGCAACCCUUACUGUUAGUUGCUACGCAAGAGCACUCUAGCAGGACUGCCGUUGACAAAACGGAGGAAGGUGGGGAUGACGUCAAAUCAUCAUGCCCCUUAUGACCUGGGCCUCACACGUACUACAAUGGCUGUCAACAGAGGGAAGCAAAGCCGCAAGGUGGAGCGAACCCCUAAAAGCAGUCUUAGUUCGGAUUGUAGGCUGCAACCCGCCUACAUGAAGUCGGAAUUGCUAGUAAUCGCAGAUCAGCAUGCUGCGGUGAAUACGUUCCCGGGCCU
rnacentral:rRNA from 1 species